AAUAGAUACCCCGGUAGUCCACGCCGUAAACGAUGAGUGCUAGGUGUUGGGGGUUUCAAUACCCUCAGUGCCGCAGCUAACGCAAUAAGCACUCCGCCUGGGGAGUACGGUCGCAAGACUGAAACUCAAAGGAAUUGACGGGGGCCCGCACAAGCGGUGGAGCAUGUGGUUUAAUUCGAAGCAACGCGAAGAACCUUACCAGGUCUUGACAUCCCGCUGACCGCUCUGGAGACAGAGCUUCCCUUCGGGGCAGCGGUGACAGGUGGUGCAUGGUUGUCGUCAGCUCGUGUCGUGAGAUGUUGGGUUAAGUCCCGCAACGAGCGCAACCCUUAUCUUUAGUUGCCAGCAUUCAGUUGGGCACUCUAGAGAGACUGCCGUCGACAAGACGGAGGAAGGCGGGGAUGACGUCAAAUCAUCAUGCCCCUUAUGACCUGGGCUACACACGUGCUACAAUGGUUGGUACAACGGGAUGCUACCGUCGCGAGAGGACGCCAAUCUCUUAAAACCAAUCUCAGUUCGGAUUGUA
rnacentral:rRNA from 1 species